AUGUCUGGUGGCUCUGCGGAUUAUAACAGAGAACAUGGUGGCCCAGAGGGAGUGGACCCCGAUGGUGUCAUCAAGAGCAACUGGAAUGAGAUUGUUGAUAACUUUGAUGAUAUGAAUUUAAAGGAGUCUCUUCUUCGGGGCAUCUAUGCUUAUGAUUUUGAGAAGCCUUCCGCUAUUCGGCAGAGAGCUAUUGUUCCUUGUAUUAAAGAUCCAAAAGGUAAUUUUGGCACUUGGAGAGUAUAUGGGAGCAACUUGUCAUGCUUGCAUUGGUGGAAUGAAUGUUCGAAAUGAAAUGCAAAAACUUCAGGCUGAAGCACCACAUAUUGUAGUUGGUACACCAGGGAGAGUGUUUGAUAUGUUAAACAGAAGAUACCUCUCUCCAAAAUGGAUCAAAAAUGUUUGUUUUGGAUGAAGCAGAUGAAAUGUUGAGCCAAGGGUUUAAGGAUCAAAUCUAUGAGAUUUUCCAAAAAUUAAAUACAAGUAUUCAGGUUGUGUUGCUUUCUGCCACAAUGCCAACUGAUGUGUUGGAAGUGACCAAAAAAUUCAUGAGAGAUCCGGUUCGAAUUCUGGUGAAAAAGGAAGAACUGACCCUUGAAGGAAUCAAACAGUUUUAUAUUAAUGUUGAAAGAGAGGAAUGAAAGUUGGAUACACUUUGUGACUUAUAUGAGACACUGACCAUUACGCAGGCUGUUAUUUUUCUCAAUACAAGGCGCAUGGUGGACUGGCUCACUGAGAAAAUGCAUGCCAGGGACUUCACAGUGUCUGUUCUGCAUGGUGACAUGGACCAGAAGGAAAGAGAUGUCAUCAUGAGGGAGUUCCAGUCAGGGUCAAGCCGUGUUCUGAUCACUACUGACUUGUUGGCUCGUGGGAUUGAUGUGCAACAAGUGUCUUUGAUAAACUAUGACCUACCUACCAACCGUGAAAACUAUAUUCCCAGAAUUGGCAGAGGGGGUCGAUUUGGGAGGAAAGGUGUGGCUAUAAACUUUGUUACUGAAGAAGACAAGAGGAUUCUUCGUGACAUUGAGACUUCGUACAAUACUACAGUGGAGGAAAUGCCCAUAAAUGUGGCUGACCUUAUUUAAUUCCUGGGAUGAGAUAGUUUUGAAUGCAGUGCUCGCUGUUGCUGAAUAGGCGAUCACAACGUGCAUUGUGCUUCUUUGGGAAUAUUUGAAUCUUGUCUCAAUGCUCAUAACAGAUCAGAAAUACAGAUUUUGAUAGCAAAGCGACAUUAGUCGUGAGCUCUUAUGAGGAAAGUCAUUGGCUUUAUCCUCUUUAGAGUUAGACUGUUGGGGUGGGUAUAAAAGAUGGGGUCUGUAAAAUCUUUCUUUCUUAGAAAUUUAUGUCCUAGUUAUGUCGAAAUGGUUGUAUUAGAUGUUCUCUAUCAUUUAAUAAUAUACUUGUGGACUAAAAGAUAUAAGUGCUAUAUAAAAUCAGCCAAUUAUGUUAAACUAGCAUAUCUGCCUUUAUUGUGUUUGUCAUUAGCCUUAAUAGAAAGGCCUUUAAAGUUGAUUUUUUUUUUUUAGAAAGCAUUUAAAUGCAUUUUGUUUGGUAUUGUAUUUAUUCAAUAAAGUAAUUAGUGCUAAGUGUGAACUGGACCCUGUUGCUAAGCCCCAGCAAGCAAUCAUAUCCUAGGUAGGGUUAAAUCCCCAGUAAAAUUGCCAUAUUGCAUUGCACAUGUCUUAAUUAAGUUUGAAUGUUAAAUAAAUUGUAUAUUCACUUUAAAAAAAAUUAAAAAAAAAAUAAGUAGAGAUAGUCUCAUGUUUAAAUAUAAUAUUU